UAGAAAGUGGUGUAAUGGAAGCACGAGGAGUUUUGAUCUCCUUCGAACAAGUUCAAUUCUUGUUUUU
rnacentral:tRNA from 1 species